UCUAAUUGCACAUUACUUACG
ensembl:piRNA 21ur-1020 ncRNA